rnacentral:rRNA from 1 species
CGAGGUGCUGCAUGGUUGUCGUCAGCUCGUGCCGUGAGGUGUCGGGUUAAGGUCCCAUAACGAGCGCAACCCCUACCUGCUAGUUGCCAGCGGGUCAUGCCGGGGACUCUAGCGGAACUGCCAGCGUAAGCUGCGAGGAAGGUGGGGAUGACGUCAAAUCAGCACGGCCCUUACGUCCAGGGCUACACACGUGUUACAAUGGCCGGUACAGAGGGCAGCCACCCCGCGAGGGGGCGCGAAUCCCGAAAGCCGGUCCCAGUUCGGAUCGGAGUCUGCAACCCGACUCCGUGAAGCUGGAUUCGCUAGUAAUCGCGCAUCAGCCACGGCGCGGUGAAUACGUUCCCGGGCCUU